UCUCUCUUAGCUUUGCUGGAUCACAACGGGUCAAAUGUGUGCUUGGUAUCUUUUGAAGAGAAUAAGGAAAGUCCUCCCAAUGCAUGGCAGACCUGCCUUCACUCCCCAUGUAGGGGCUCUGUUCCA
ensembl:snoRNA